GAUGAACGCUGGCGGCGUGCCUAAUACAUGCAAGUCGAGCGAACAGACGAGGAGCUUGCUCCUCUGACGUUAGCGGCGGACGGGUGAGUAACACGUGGAUAACCUACCUAUAAGACUGGGAUAAAUUCGGGAAACCGGAGCUAAUACCGGAUAAUAUAUUGAACCGCAUGGUUCAAUAGUGAAAGACGGUUUUGCUGUCACUUAUAGAUGGAUCCGCGCCGCAUUAGCUAGUUGGUAAGGUAACGGCUUACCAAGGCAACGAUGCGUAGCCGACCUGAGAGGGUGAUCGGCCACACUGGAACUGAGACACGGUCCAGACUCCUACGGGAGGCAGCAGUAGGGAAUCUUCCGCAAUGGGCGAAAGCCUGACGGAGCAACGCCGCGUGAGUGAUGAAGGUCUUCGGAUCUUAAAACUCUGUUAUUAGGGAAGAACAAAUGUGUAAGUAACUAUGCACGUCUUGACGGUACCUAAUCAGAAAGCCACGGCUAACUACGUG
rnacentral:rRNA from 1 species